rnacentral:lncRNA from 1 species
UAUAUCAGAUGACAUGAAAGAAACCCUCCAUAAAACACGACAAGGGUGCAGGGUGGCACAACAUAACACAGAACUUGCUGCUGGAGGGCACAGGGGAGUACCACCAUACCUGGCUAUAUCCCACAUUUCUUACAGCUUCCUCACCUCACAAAGCUCUCCAACAGGUCAAUGUUUUUGCGGUCACUCACAAUUAUAGUGCUCAGCACCUUGGACAGCAGCUUUGAGAGGUCCUCAAAGAGGUUGGAACAGUA